AUGGUGGUGCACGUGGUGCUCCUGGCCGUGCCGGCGGUCGGCGGGUUCAUGCAGGCGUUCAAGUUCUCGGUCCUGCUCUGGCCGUUCAACAUCAUGCUGCCGCUGCUCCGCAACCUGCCGCGCCUCUGCCUCACGCUCAGGGCCGCCGCGGUGCACUACGACGCCGAGCUGCGCGCGUACCUCACCGGCCGCCGGACGGUGCCGCUGCCGGAGCCGGGGUACUCGACCCUCCGCGGCGCGCAGAGGCGCACGCGUGAGCAGCUCGCCGCGCACGCCAUGAUCGCCCUCGUCGACAUCUCCUACUGA
rnacentral:rRNA from 1 species